rnacentral:rRNA from 1 species
ACCUGGGUUUGACAUGUAAGUGGUAGUGAAGCGAAAGCGGAGAGACCCUUCGGGGAGCUUACACAGAUGCUGCAUGGCUGUCGUCAGAUCGUGCCGUGAGAUGUCGGGUUAAGUCCCGUAACGAGCGCAACCCUUGCCGUUAGUUACAAGUGUCUAAGGGGACUGCCGGCGGUAAGCCGGAGGAAGAUGGGGAUGACGUCAAGUCAGCAUGGCCCUUAUAUCCAGGGCUACACACACGCUACAAUGGUCAGUACAAAGGGCAGCGAGGCCGCGAGGUGAAGCGAAUCCCACCUAAGCUGAUCUAAGUUCGGAUUGCAGGCUGCAACUCGCCUGCAUGAAGCUGGAGUUGCUAGUAACCGCGCGUCAGCCAUAGUGCGGUGAAUACGUUCCCGGGGCUUGUACACACCGCCCGUCACGUCAUGGGAGUCGGUAACGCCUGAAGCUGGUAGUCUGGCCCACAUCGGGGGGACGCCAUCUAAGGCGGGGCUGGCAACUGGGACG